AUUGAACGCUGGCGGCAGGCUUAACACAUGCAAGUCGAGCGGGGUGAUGGUGCUUGCACUAUCACUUAGCGGCGGACGGGUGAGUAAUGCUUAGGAAUCUGCCUAUUAGUGGGGGACAACAUCUCGAAAGGGAUGCUAAUACCGCAUACGUCCUACGGGAGAAAGCAGGGGAUCACUUGCGACCUUGCGCUAAUAGAUGAGCCUAAGUCGGAUUAGCUAGUUGGUGGGGUAAAGGCCUACCAAGGCGACGAUCUGUAGCGGGUCUGAGAGGAUGAGCCGCCACACUGGGACUGGGACACGGCCCAGGCUCCUACGGGAGGCAGCAGUGGGGAAUAUUGGACAAUGGGGGGAACCCUGAUCCAGCCAUGCCGCGUGUGUGAAGAAGGCCUUAUGGUUGUAAAGCACUUUAAGCGAGGAGGAGGCUCUUUUGGUUAAUACCCAAGAUGAGUGGACGUUACUCGCAGAAUAAGCACCGGCUAACUCUGUGCCAGCAGCCGCCGUAA
rnacentral:rRNA from 1 species